rnacentral:rRNA from 1 species
UAGAGUUUGAUCAUGGCUCAGAUUGAACGCUGGCGGCAGGCCUAACACAUGCAAGUCGAACGGUAACAGGAAGCAGCUUGCUGCUUCGCUGACGAGUGGCGGACGGGUGAGUAAUGUCUGGGAAACUGCCUGAUGGAGGGGGAUAACUACUGGAAACGGUAGCUAAUACCGCAUAACGUCGCAAGACCAAAGAGGGGGACCUUCGGGCCUCUUGCCAUCGGAUGUGCCCAGAUGGGAUUAGCUAGUAGGUGGGGUAACGGCUCACCUAGGCGACGAUCCCUAGCUGGUCUGAGAGGAUGACCAGCCACACUGGAACUGAGACACGGUCCAGACUCCUACGGGAGGCAGCAGUGGGGAAUAUUGCACAAUGGGCGCAAGCCUGAUGCAGCCAUGCCGCGUGUAUGAAGAAGGCCUUCGGGUUGUAAAGUACUUUCAGCGGGGAGGAAGGCGAUAAGGUUAAUAACCUUGUCGAUUGACGUUACCCGCAGAAGAAGCACCGGCUAACUCCGUGCCAGCAGCCGCGGUAAUACGGAGGGUGCAAGCGUUAAUCGGAAUUACUGGGCGUAAAGCGCACGCAGGCGGUCUGUCAAGUCGGAUGUGAAAUCCCCGGGCUCAACCUGGGAACUGCAUUCGAAACUGGCAGGCUAGAGUCUUGUAGAGGGGGGUAGAAUUCCAGGUGUAGCGGUGAAAUGCGUAGAGAUCUGGAGGAAUACCGGUGGCGAAGGCGGCCCCCUGGACAAAGACUGACGCUCAGGUGCGAAAGCGUGGGGAGCAAACAGGAUUAGGUACCCUGGUAGUCCACGCCGUAAACGAUGUCGACUUGGAGGUUGUGCCCUUGAGGCGUGGCUUCCGGAGCUAACGCGUUAAGUCGACCGCCUGGGGAGUACGGCCGCAAGGUUAAAACUCAAAUGAAUUGACGGGGGCCCGCACAAGCGGUGGAGCAUGUGGUUUAAUUCGAUGCAACGCGAAGAACCUUACCUACUCUUGACAUCCAGAGAACUUUCCAGAGAUGGAUUGGUGCCUUCGGGAACUCUGAGACAGGUGCUGCAUGGCUGUCGUCAGCUCGUGUUGUGAAAUGUUGGGUUAAGUCCCGCAACGAGCGCAACCCUUAUCCUUUGUUGCCAGCGGUUAGGCCGGGAACUCAAAGGAGACUGCCAGUGAUAAACUGGAGGAAGGUGGGGAUGACGUCAAGUCAUCAUGGCCCUUACGAGUAGGGCUACACACGUGCUACAAUGGCGCAUACAAAGAGAAGCGACCUCGCGAGAGCAAGCGGACCUCAUAAAGUGCGUCGUAGUCCGGAUUGGAGUCUGCAACUCGACUCCAUGAAGUCGGAAUCGCUAGUAAUCGUGGAUCAGAAUGCCACGGUGAAUACGUUCCCGGGCCUUGUACACACCGCCCGUCACACCAUGGGAGUGGGUUGCAAAAGAAGUAGGUAGCUUAACCUUCGGGAGGGCGCUUACCACUUUGUGAUUCAUGACUGGGGUGAAGUCGUAACAAGGUAACC